rnacentral:lncRNA from 1 species
ACUUGUACAAUCAUAUGUAUAUGGGCACAUUCCUUGUCACCUACUUAAUGACAAAGUAAUAUCCCUUUAAUUUUUUAUGUUGUCCCUUUGUAUUUGAAUAAUAGUAUAAUUAACUAUUUGAAUAUACAGAGUGUGGAUUUUAAAUCCAGAACAAGUUUAGACUUCUUUAUCUAGUCGACACUGAGAUUAGAGUUAAUAAAAUUCGAAUACGACCACCAUUUGGCCAUUAUUGUGUGCCUCCGUUCCUGGACCUCGACACAGGACGUAAAAACUCCAUACAUAAUGAUGCUAGAUAACUUUAAUUAAUGUUCAGGGAUCCGGUGUCGUGUUAGAAUUUUAAAUGGAUGCAGUGUGUCCAAAUAGGGUAAUUGGAACGGGAUUUUUUCCGAAAACUAUCCUUUUUAAGACCUGAAUGUUUUGGGGGAAAAAAAUGUGGACUCAUAGCUGGCCGGAUCUGAACCACAUUAAACUACUACAUAUGCAUGAGGCGUCUUAGAGAGAGAGUCGAAUAAACAUUCACAUAAAACUGUUGACUCCUUACGGACUUCCAUUACCGAGACAUUGGCCAAAAUGGACACGGAGUUCCUCAUCAAGGCCUUUGCCAGGUUGGAGGCUGUGGUUGAAGUUGGGGGUGGUUGGUUUGAGAGACUGCCUUCACUAUGGACCUCUGAUAUCUAUAUCUAAGAGCAAAAGAUGCGUGAACUGCAGCAUUAAUUUAAGGAAAUAAAUUCUAAUAUAUCUUAUUCUGAAAUUUUCAGGAUUUCAAAUACCCAAUAUGUACAAACAUUUGUCUCAUUAAUUGAUACAAUGGUUUUUUUUGUAAGUUUGCUGACAAAACAAUGAUGUGACAUAUGUUUCUUUGUGCCUAUACAUAUGUAUGUAUGUUUUUUAUGGUACACAGUCCAUGCAAUCCAACUCUAUCAGAAAAUUAGAUUAACCCAAUCCCACAGCUUAUAAAUUAUUAUUUUUUUGGAAAAACUUUGUUUCUUCAAUAUUUUUUGCAAAAAUUAUGUAUUUUCUAAGCAUUGAGCAUAAAGAAUCUUUAAUAAUUCAGGGACGUCCAGGUAAUAGAAAGAGGACAUUGACCUAGUGUAUGAAUUUAAACCGUUCUUAUUUUGUUCUAUUAGACAUAAAUCUUCCUUUUAAUUGUCUUAUAAUGACAAGCGUAUGUAUGUUUUAUGUGCGUAAUAUAAAGAUCCAUUAUGAGGCACAAGUUUUGCUUCAUUUUCGCAAAUUUAUAGGUUGAAAUUUAAAUUUUUUAUUCAAAUGAGAUAAUAUAUACAUUACAACUCGUGAGUAGACUUUAGGGCGAUUUUUUUUUUUUUUU